rnacentral:rRNA from 1 species
ACGUAGGGGGCAAGCGUUAUCCGGAAUCAUUGGGCGUAAAGGGCGCGUAGGCGGCCUAUAAAGUCUGGGGUGAAAGGCUACGGCUCAACCGUAGGAUGCCUUGGAAACUGAUUGACUUGAGUGCAGGAGAGGUGAGCGGAAUUCCUAGUGUAGCGGUGAAAUGCGUAGAUAUUGGGAGGAACACCAGUGGCGAAGGCGGCUUACUGGGCUGUAACUGACGCUGAGGCGCGAAAGCGUGGGGAGCAAACGG